AACCUUGUAGUGAAAUUCACGUCAGACUGCAAAUCUGUAGAUACACUUUAAUUGGUGUCUUGGUUU
rnacentral:tRNA from 1 species